rnacentral:rRNA from 1 species
UAAGAAGGGUGCAAGCGUUACUCGGAAUUACUGGGCGUAAAGCGUGCGUAGGUGGUGAGUUAAGUCUGAUGUGAAAUCCCCGGGCUCAACCUGGGAAUGGCAUUGGAUACUGGCUCGCUAGAGUGCGGUAGAGGGUGGUGGAAUUCCCGGUGUAGCAGUGAAAUGCGUAGAGAUCGGGAGGAACAUCUAAGGCGACGGCGGCCACCUAGACCAACACUGACACUGAGGCACGAAAGCGUGGGGAGCAAACAGG